rnacentral:misc_RNA from 1 species
GGGGAAUCCCUUCUGCAGCACCGUUUUAGAGCUAGAAAUAGCAAGUUAAAAUAAGGCUAGUCCGUUAUCAACUUGAAAAAGUGA